AGGACCUUACUUGGCCGCGGGCCUUUAGAACCCAAACGAAGCUAAGACGGACAGCAGAACCGAGGCCAUUAGGACAUGUUAAAGUGAUGACCGUCCCUUCUUUAUCAUUAAUAUACACUUAGAAAAUCGUAAUUCCCAUGACGUCCCUGUUAGAGAAAACCUUAGGCUGAAGAUGAAAAACGACAUUUUGUGUCCGUGUGGGCGAUAACCCGCACUUAGAAGCUUAAAGCCGGCUGGGAAUUGCGAGGGGCCCCGCGCAGGCGCAGAGCUGAGCGCCGGAUCACCGCACGUCUUCGCUGUCAGGGGAGGUGAGUGUUCGGUGAGAGAGGAGAGGUGGUAGAGGACAUUCGGGAGGUAAGGGUCAAGAUGAUGGUCAGACGAGCUGAGGGGUGGGCCUUCUGCCGGCUGGAAAGCCGAGUAGAGCGUAUGCCUUCGAACUGGGCAGUCCGAGAAGGCCUCGACCGGAGCAGCCGGGACCAUAAAGGGACUCGCAGGCGCCUGAGUGGUGACGAAGACGGCGCUGCGCAGGCGCGGUGUGACCGUCGGGCCCGCGCAGGCGCAGUCUGGCGGCGGCCCCUGAGCACGCGCGGAGUGGACGCCCGUGGUUAGCAGGCUGGUUGAACAGGCUCGUCUACUGUGUCAGGUGUGUCUCGCCCGUCUCUGUCGCCUGUCAUGCUUUCCGUAGGGGCGUUUGUGGUGUGCGGCCGCCGCCAUGUAGGAGCCUCCGCAGGGAGCCGGCCCUGCCUCUCACGCGCGCGGCUCAGGCCUGCUCUCCCCUCGGCGCGCAUCGGGGCGACGCACUCUGCCCUUCUAGCCCGCGCCGGCCGGUGACGCCAUCGGAAGGCGACCGGAAGAGCCGGCGCCGCGUGUCCGUCCGACUAUGGCUCCGCGUCACCUCCGCCUCCUCCCCUCUUCCUGUGUCCCCUCUCCGUAUCCCGUCCCUUUUUCCCUUUUCUGACUGCAAAGUGGGCCUCUUUAACCUGUUUCUGGGCCCCGUGGGGAAGAAUGAGAAGCAGAGUAGGAGGCGAGGGAGCAAGGAGCGAAGGAAGGUCCUCCCUGCAGAUUGUCUGCAAUCAGGCCACACUUUGGUUGGAGCAGGUGCACGGAUGAAUUUGUCUCUUUCAAGUAAACAGGUGUUUAAUAACGGUUUCACAUUUAUAUUUAGUAUGUUGUCAUCACUGCUAAGAGUAGAGACCUCCCUGGCCAGCAAGGGGACCGACCACCCAGGAUGACCCACCUUCCAGGGGCUCGGCCCUGGGUGCCCUGUGGGAGAGCUGGGGCCAGGCAGGCUUCUACUGGGGUCUUGCAAGGAGGGGUUGGGGAGGGUGUGUGCCUGGCCUCUGCCCUCACCUCCCUCUUCUCCCAGCCUGUCUUAGCUAAGUUCCUCCAGCUCAGAGGUUACUGUGUAGGUUUAGCCUCUCCGACUUCUUCCUGUUGUUUAGUCACUCGUUACCUCGUGCACCAAGAGGAAGGCGUCCUGGAGCUGCAUCCUUCCUGCGUGGGCCAUGGGGGCGUGAGUGCGAGGAGUGGCUCUGGCCAUUAGGAGCCCUUGAUAUCAGACUCCUUGAUAUUUACUCCGUGAAGUCCUCAAGGAUGUCCUUCUUUCCAACAUCCUGUUUGCAGCUGGAGAUGUGGGGUCAGUUUGCAAGGAAAAAGAAGUCGUUCAGACGGCUGGUCCCUGGAGAGGCGAUUUACUGCAUAAAUGGCGAAAUCGAAGGAUGAACACUGAUGGUGGCAGUGGUGAAAAGAGGAAACGUGCAGUGUUGCUUCGGAACGUUUACUGUUUUGGAAAACUUGAAUUUUGUCCGCAUGUAUUUUCAAAAUGCCUUUGGAGCUGUCCUUGGAGGAAAAGACAUGAUGCAGAUUUCACCAAAGGUCCGUCUGCUUUGUUGUCCACAUCUUCAGGAAACAGCUCCAUGGAGAAGGGGAACCAUCCCUCAACACACAUGGCCAAGGGAUGGACGUGCAAGCAACCCCCCAGAUCAGGUCAUGGGGGUCCUAGGAGGAGAGCCAGCUCUCAAGGGGCCCUGGGACCUCUCAGCCCAGGCCGGAGGGGAGAAGGGACCUGCCCAGGGUCCCUUGGCAUGGCCUGUUCUGCGUACAAGGGGAGGCGUGCUGCCCCACGGCCACCGGCUGCCUGCAAGAGAGCCAGGCUUCAUGGUCCAGGCUCAGCAUCGGACCUUCCCCUGACCCCCCUUGGGCUUUGUGCGGCCUUUGUUUCUUGAGGCUUGUUUGCUCCUAUGUGAGCCAGUACCGCUGAGACACU